rnacentral:tRNA from 1 species
GCAUCGGUGGUUCAGUGGUAGAAUUCUUGCCUGCCACGCGGGUGACCCGGGUUCGAUUCCCGGCCGAUGCA